GACGAACGCUGGCGGCGUGCUUAACACAUGCAAGUCGAACGGAAAGGCCCUGCUUUUGUGGGGUGCUCGAGUGGCGAACGGGUGAGUAACACGUGAGUAACCUGCCCUUGACUUUGGGAUAACUUCAGGAAACUGGGGCUAAUACCGGAUAGGAGCUCCUGCUGCAUGGUGGGGGUUGGAAAGUUUCGGCGGUUGGGGAUGGACUCGCGGCUUAUCAGCUUGUUGGUGGGGUAGUGGCUUACCAAGGCUUUGACGGGUAGCCGGCCUGAGAGGGUGACCGGGCACAUUGGGAAUGAGAGACGGCCCAGACUCCUACGGGAGGCAGCAGUGGGGAAUAUUGCACAAUGGGCGGAAGCCUGAUGCAGCAACGCCGGGUGCGGGAUGACGGCCUUCGGGUUGUAAACCGCUUUCGCCUGUGACGAAGCGUGAGUGACGGUAAUGGGUAAAGAAGCACCGGCUAACUACGUG
rnacentral:rRNA from 1 species